rnacentral:rRNA from 1 species
ACGGGAGGCAGCAGUAGGGAAUAUUGCACAAUGGGGGAAACCCUGAUGCAGCGACGCCGCGUGAGUGAUGAAGUAUUUCGGUACGUAAAGCUCUAUCAGCAGGGAAGAUAAUGACGGUACCUGACUAAGAAGCCCCGGCUAACUACGUGCCAGCAGCCGCGGUAAUACGUAGGGGGCAAGCGUUAUCCGGAUUUACUGGGUGUAAAGGGAGUGUAGGUGGCCUGGCAAGCCAGAUGUGAAAGCCCGCGGCUCAACCGCGGGACUGCAUUUGGAACUGUUAGGCUUGAGUGCAGGAGAGGAAAGUGGAAUUCCUAGUGUAGCGGUGAAAUGCGUAGAUAUUAGGAGGAACACCAGUGGCGAAGGCGGCUUACUGGACUGUAACUGACGUUGAGGCUCGAAAGCGUGGGGAGCAAACAGGAUUAGAUACCCUGGUA